UCUGUCGUCUCCAGCAAGCGUCAAGUGUUAUACCCCACUGGGCCCUGCCCAGAGAUGGGCCUGGCACACAGGCCUUGCUCACUAGCUACUGUUCAGGGCCUGUGUACUGUCCUGGCUACAGUCCAGAACUGCUGGCGGCUUGGCCCAGGCAGAGCCCAGAACAUGACCUCUGGCAGUGGGCGGGGCCUCGGUUCUUCACAGAGCCCGGCUGUUUUCACGUGCUGCUUGGGCUGGGGAUCAGAAAGCCUGCCCUUGGAGUUGUGGCUGACUCAGAGCGCUGCCUUCCUGCCUCCGUGAAAACAAUUCGAUUUUCAGACCCUAAAGCUGAGGUGCUUUGAUUCGGGGAUUGCACUUAUUUACUCUCAGCUGCAGGGCUGUAGAGUCUGCCAUGGGACCCACGCCUGAGACCCACCUACAGAGAGCACUGCUCAGGCUGUGAGAGCCAGGGGAAGCGGCCCUGUCCCCACCGUGUCUUCAGAGGGCCUCAAGGAUCCAGACUGGCCCUGCCUCUACCUUAGCCAAAAUAAAGCCUCUUUCUACUAUUAAGAAACUAUCACAUGAGCACAGCUGAGCCCCACUCUGAGCCGGGCCCAGCUAACCGCAGUGCGGAGCACGGGGUCACUGUCGAUCUCUGAGAAGGCCAUGCCAACGGCAUAGAGGAGCCUGGAUACAAGGGAGGAAGCAAUUGGAUCCGCUUAAGUGCCACAAACAUAACCCCCCGGCGCUUCUCAGCAAGACCAGGUCCCUCGACGGGGACCCCGGGGAACAAGAACAUUCCAGCUAAUCUCCGACCACUUCUGCUAAUUGUACGAUGUUACGCGCUAAUCAACAGCCAAUGCCUUUGCUCUGUAAGACCAAGACAAAGCCUCAAAUUACUAAUUACACAAAUACAGUGUCUUUUGCUAAUUGGA